AGAAAACUCAACGAAAUUAUUGCAUAAAUAUCGAUUUCAAAAUCUCAAAAUGUAGUAGAAUUCAUUUUUGGACUACCCAGAAAAAUCCUGCGUACGUGCAAUGAUCCUUAUGGUUCAGGUAAUAAGACUGAAGACAAGAUUUUCUUCGCUCAGACGCUCGAAUGGAAAAAGCACACACUAAAUCUUGAAAAUUGUAGAGGAAGUUACGGCAUGCACACACAGACCAAUAGAGAAAGUGGUUCAUGGUUGUAGUGUAAGCUAAAAACCUUUUGUAGAGGAUUUGAGGCUUUACAAGCCUUCAUGAAACUUCGAGUUUUUCUUCAAUAAAUCUCAAACAAAGCUUAUUUGAGAGCGUUUUAAGACUCAUCAAGAGAAAUCUCUUGCUUUCUUGAGAUUUUAGGCUCUUCAAAAACCUUUAAGGGUACCUAUUUGAACUUAAAAGGCUUUAUUAGAGUUUAGCAGCUGCUAAGGACACAUAUUCGCAUUAGUGCCCUUUAGAUUCUUCAACAAGCCUUUAACGUACCUUUUUAGUUUUUGAUAGUCUUAUAUUUAAAAUCCGAAGCUAAAACGCCUUUACUUUUCUCCAGUUUUAGGGAACCGCAUUUACGGGUUUUUAAAGGUCUGUGAGAGUCUUUAAGUAUCGCCAACAGUUUCUAAAGAAACCUAGAAACUCCAUGCAUCUUUUAGAGGCAUACAGAGAGUUCAAUUAGCUUUUUGUGCCGUUGAAAGCUCUUAUGACCUUUUCAAAUUUUUAAUAAGUAAGUUUUGUUCAAAAGACCUUUAAAAACAUUUAAGAACGUAUAAGAACUGAGCUUUUAAAGAGUAUUAUGAGAACUUUAAGGGCCUGUGAGAAUCGCCGAUAAUGUCAAAGAACCUCCAAAUACGUUUGUGGGUUUCCAAAAGCUUUCUAGAUUGCUUUAGUGUAGUGUGUAAAACUGUAAUCCCUAUACAACAAUUAAACGGAUUUUUAUCUGCCGUCUGCUAUCCCAAAUUUUACUUUUUUAUGGUUUGGUUACUGCAGACUUCUUCCCUUAAUAUUCUGAAACAUUUUUCUCUUCUGAACUUGUUAGCAAACAAAGAACGCCAAAUGGCCAUAUAACUGUGCAUUGAAAUUAAUUCAAAAAUGAAAUACUUCCACAUGCACCUUUAUUUGCACAUGAACUUUUUUUUACAAUCAAAUUUUUCAUUUAACAUUUUUUACCAAAUAAACUCAGCAAGAAAAUGAACCUUGAAUUUGACAAAUUGGUGUAGUACUGAAAGCGUGGAAAAAAACUCCUUAAAACAAAUGUUAAUUCUAAAUCCGAACCUAUUGAUUUGGUUGAAUCUUUAAGACUAACCAAUUAAAGCUUUACGUUAGAGUUUAUGCAAAUUCCUUUUUCAAUAAUGAUUGAAUACUUAAACGGAAAUAAAUAAAACCUUGAACUAAAAAUUUUCUCGUCCAUGGAAUGGGUUGAAGCCUUUAGCAUCUAGCUAUAGCCGCAUAGUUAUAAUACAGAUGCUAUUAGAUGUUUUUUUCAGGAAAAUGUAUUUGGAAACCCAUCGGUAUUAUAUACUAUAUAAUAUUAUAUUAUAUUUCUGGUUAUAGAUAAUACUCUUGACUUGACUUGGUUACAAUGGGAUCGACUUCAGUUUUUGUGUGUUACUGGUAAAUGGAAAUUACUUUCUGAGAACAUGAUAUGUGUACAGUGUACACCGCUCAGUUUACUGAACUUUCAUAAUAAUAAUAAUGUCUUUUAUUAAGUUACAUACACACAAUUAAGUAAAAAAUAAACUAAAUGACAUAUUUCAAAAUUAAAGUAAUGCAAUUUAAGGGGCGAAGUUCAGUUAGUGUAGGCGACUGCCUCCAAUUCUGCUCUUCCACUUAACCCAAUCAUUUAAUAAAUUAUUACAGAAAAGAGUUAACACAAUACACAAUGGCACAAUUUAUGACUCAAAUAAUAAUAAUACUAAAAAAAAAAAUAAAAACAAUAAAAUAAAAAAAAAAUGUGUUGAAGCGUUAAUAUACUUCCUAUGAUGGUACUAAUUAAUGCAAAUAGUUACAUUGCCUGUCAAACAUGGUCUGGCGAAUUAAUUUUUUAAAUUUAGAGGUAUUUAGUUUUUUAAGUAAGUUAUCAAUUGCGUUAUUCGCUAUACAGUAAUUAAAGGAUCUUUCAUAGAACGAUGUUUUAUGGCAAGGUGGUUUAAUUAACGAAACAAAUUUAGAAUUACUGCUAAAUUCAAUUUUAUUGUAUAGAUAAAGUGGUGUUCUGGACGUGACAAUUUUAUGAUAUAAAACAACAGAAUGUACAUAUCGCCGAUUUCCCAUAUUCAACCAAUUUAAGUCUUUUAAUUUGUGGGAUAUGUGUUCAUAUUUUCUUAUACCAUAAAUUAAUCUCAAGCGAGAGUUUUGGAUUUUUUGAAUUCUAUUUACGUCGGCCAAAUCUAAACAAGGACCGUAAAGAGCGUCGCAGUAAUUGAAAUGUGAUAGAACCAAUGCCUCACACAGUAUAGUUCUGACAUGUUGACUCAGACUGAAACGAUUACUGUUUAGUUAGACUGUUUAGUUAGAAAAAAUCCUCUGUAAGCAGUUGCACAAAAAAUACGAUUAUAUUGAUGUCUCCAAAAAUGGAAUCGAUUUCACUAAGAAAUAUUGACAGAUUUUUAGUUAUAAUUUCGGCACUUUCAUUUACUUGUCGGUUUUUUUUAAUACGUCACGAAAUACAAAGCAAAGUUUUUCUUUAACGCAUAAUAAUGAACUCGUUUGGUCAGCAUCGAUGGUAAAAUAAAAUACCUAGAGGGAGGUUCGCUCCUAAAAAUGAAAAACCAGCGAUUUGUUCAACUUCGUCACUUAAAAAAUCGUAGACCAUAACAAAUUGUAUUCAUUGGAGGCCAUUCUAAUUUUUUUUGUUUAGGGUUUUCUUAGUACCACAAUUAUAGUUACUAGGGCAUGACCUGUCGUGGCGAAUGAAGAGCGUGAUUGCUCUCCCUCAUUGUUUACUAACAUUCAAGAGAUAACAUUCCAAGAAUCUUUUCAACAUCCUUGUAGCUUAUCCCUAUCUCAACUAACAAAGAGGAAACCGCCAGCGGGUCACCUUUGUUACUAUCAACGCGCCAGUGUCUAUAAUUAUGGACGUUUCCAUAUCUGGUAUACCCAAUAUGUUAGUGUACGUUUUAAUUGGCCUAUGGUUUUCGAACGUAAGUGCCCAACAUGACUACUACCAUCAGCCUUACCCUGAUUUUCGACUAGCAGAAAACCACGAAGAGAUCGUGCUACCACACAUCAUAAAGGCACCCUGCGUAAAUGGUAGACGUAAUGGUGUACGAUGUAGGGAGGCUUUCAUUGUUCAAGAAAGAUCUUGAAAUCCAUGGAUGCCGAUGUGGAAUCCGCGAUAUCCAUAAGUCAGAAUGUAGCAUUUUAGUUAAUAGUGACGUAGAAGUUGUAGAAAUAAUGGUCGAUUUGAGAUCUGACAGUAACUAUAAUUGUUAGUUUCUGUAUCCUUCUCAAUUCGACUAUCAGUAUUACAUUAUUAUAAUUGUAGAACAGGCAUAACCAAUGACAGUAAUAGCUGGAAUUAAAUAUACUUAAUGUUUGAAAAUAUAAGGUAAAUUAUAUAUUUUGUAUUGUACCAUA